UACGUAGGGGGCAAGCGUUGUCCGGAAUUAUUGGGCGUAAAGAGCGUGUAGGCGGCCAGAUAAGUCCGCUGUGAAAUCUCGAGGCUCAACUUCGAGCUGUCGGUGGAAACUAUCUGGCUAGAGUCCGGAAGAGGAGAAUGGAAUUCCUGGUGUAGCGGUGAAAUGCGCAGAUAUCAGGAAGAACACCCGUGGCGAAGGCGGUUCUCUGGGACGGUACUGACGCUGAGACGUGAAAGCGUGGGGAGCGAACAGG
rnacentral:rRNA from 1 species